rnacentral:rRNA from 1 species
UACGUAGGUGGCAAGCGUUGUCCGGAUUUAUUGGGCGUAAAGGGAGCGCAGGCGGUGACUUAAGUCUGAUGUGAAAGCCCACGGCUCAACCGUGGAAGGUCAUUGGAAACUGGGUCACUUGAAUAUAGAAGAGGAAAGUGGAAUUCCAUGUGUAGCGGUGAAAUGCGUAGAUAUAUGGAAGAACACCAGUGGCGAAGGCGACAUUCUGGUCUGUUACUGACACUGAGGCUCGAAAGCGUGGGGAGCAAACAGG